GUUUCCGUAGUGUAGCGGUUAUCACGUUCGCCUCACACGCGAAAGGUCCCCGGUUCGAUCCCGGGCGGGAACA